AGUCAAGUCAACGAAAUCUAUCUUCCAGAGGGAAAAAAAUGGCAGUCAUUGCCUCAGGUAGAUAUGCAUAUCUAAGCAAAUUGUUGCCCUUCACUCUGCCUUCAUCUUCACAAGCUGAUAAGUUUCCUUCCCAUUGAAAGAACCAGCAAAACCCACCAACUGCCAUGGAAAGGGAUCACAUACACAAAAAGCUUUUUCCUCUGCUCCUGUUCAUUUCUCUUUUACCCUUUUCAUUAGCCUACAUUAAUACCCCAUUUAAGUACUUCAUCAACUGCGGAUCAGACUCCAACGUCAGUGUUAGUGGCCGGACUUUUGUUGGUGACAUCAAUUCCAACUCUUCUUUCACAUUAGGGAAUAGUGAGGCUAUCUAUAGCAGUAGCCCUUUACCAAACACUUCUUCUCUCUAUCUAACAGCCAGAGUUUUCAGACAGAAAUCUCAAUAUGAGCUCAAUGUCACUAAACAUGGAACUUACAUGGUUCGCCUUCAUUUCUUUGUUUUCGAAUCCCAAGGGAUUAAUCUAAACAAUGCUUUAUUUGAUGUUUCAACUUUGAAUUUUUCGCUGUUGUCAAAGUUCAGAGUCCAAAACAGUCUCCCUGUGAUCAAGGAAUUCUUUCUCACUAUCAAUGUAGGGAAGCUACGAAUACAGUUUUCACCUUCAUCUUUUGCUUUUGUUAACGCCAUAGAAGUCUUUCUUCUUCCACCAAACUUCAUCGUGGAUGAUGCCGCAGCUGUUCCUUCUGUAAAGAACGAAAAAGGAUCUUACCAUGGUUUACCAUCUGAGGCUUUACAAACAAUUUACAGGAUCAACGUUGGAGGUCUAGAGAUUAAGGAGUCCAGUGACUCCCUUUGGAGGAAUUGGCUGCAAGAUGAUGAUUAUGUAAUUUCCUCAACUUCUGCAAAAACUUGUGCCUUUUAUAAUGGUACGCUUGGAGAGGGUCCUGAACCCAUCAAUGAUAUUGCCCCAGAUCUUGUUUACAGAACUUGCAGGGAAGUGAAGGACAAUAGCGGCGAAGCAGAUUUGCUGAAUAUAACUUG
rnacentral:misc_RNA from 1 species